GGGUUGUCAUGCCAAUGGCACUGCCCGGUAGCUAAAUGCGGAAGAGAUAAGUGCUGAAAGCAUCUAAGCACGAAACUUGCCCCGAGAUGAGUUCUCCCUGAGACUUUAAGUCUCCUGAAGGAACGUUGAAGACGACGACGUUGAUAGGCCGGGUGUGUAAGCGCAGCGAUGCGUUGAGCUAACCGGUACUAAUGAACCGUGAGGCUUAACCUUACAACGCCGAAGGUGUUU
rnacentral:rRNA from 1 species